rnacentral:rRNA from 1 species
CGCCGCGACCCGUUGCUGGGGACGUCGAAGGCCCGGAUGGACUGGUACCCCGACGUCGUGCGUUCGCGCCGACGAAGGGGGAAACCUCCGGUGUCCUGGCAGCCCUGCGACGGUCGAGCAGCAGAGGGGCAACACUCCUCCCUCUCGCGGCGUGCAAAAGGUCGGUGACCCACCCGACCCGUCUUGAAACACGGACCAAGGAGUCUAACAUGUGUGCGAGUCAUUGGGCGCACUAAACCCAGAGGCGUAAUGAAAGUGAAAGGGGGGCGUCCCGGGGUCUUCGGGCCUCGGUCGGCGCCCUCCGGGGCCGAUCCCCGACCGCCUGUUGCCGUCUCGGUUUCCCAUUCCAAAGCGGAGUCAAGGGGGUGUGCGGGGUGAGUCCCUUUCCCCCGCGCUACCUCCGGCUUCGUGGGUACUGGGCGCGCACGACGGUCCGGCUCCUUCACGGGAGUCGCUUGUACGCAGGGGGGCGCAGGCCCGGGACUUGCCAUUCGACGCCGUCGCGCAAAUCUGUUGUUGGCCUCGCCGGCUUUGCUUGGGCUCUCGGUUGGCGCGCCGCGCGUCAGGCGGGCUUUGGGUGGGGGCUUUGUCUCU